rnacentral:rRNA from 1 species
GAUGAACGCUGGCGGCGUGCUUAACACAUGCAAGUCGAACGAGGCUGCACAGCGGAAGUUUUCGGAUGGAAGCAGUGCAGACCGAGUGGCGGACGGGUGAGUAACGCGUGGGGAACCUGCCCCAUUCCGGGGGAUACCAGCUGGAAACGGCUGUUAAUACCGCAUAAGCGCACGUGAAGGCAUCUUCGUGUGUGAAAAACUGAGGUGGAAUGGGAUGGCCCCCGCGUCUGAUUAGCCAGUUGGCAGGGUAACGGCCUACCAAAGCGACGAUCAGUAGCCGGCCUGAGAGGGCGACCGGCCACAUUGGGACUGAGACACGGCCCAAACUCC